CCUUCCUAAGUCUGCUUUAGAAAUUCACAAAACCGUCUGCAGAACCCAUCCUUCUAAAGCCAGACCCCUCUGCUCAUGGGACUGGAUGCAAAAAUCAUCACCUACUCUAGCGCCUGAAAGAUCCACCAUAACAUGGAGAGCAUCUGCCACAGCCUGCUGCAGCCUGAGCUACUCUGCUGUGCCCUCCUUGUUAGGAAGGCCUGGUGGCCAGUCAAUCUGUGCUCCCUCAGGUGUUUCUGACAGGUUCCUGUGGUCCUAGUGCCGCAAAGGUGCACAGUCAGCCUCAACGCCCGUCCCGUGAUAAGGGUUAUGAAGCCCAGAGUUUCAGGCGACAGAACGUGCUUGAGGAGGCAGUCAAGUGCUGGGGUGACUGGUGGUUCAGCUGAGAACAGCUGUCUCCAGCAUCCUAGCUUCCCAUGUGCUCAGCCCACAUGUGCUCCCAUUCCUGCCUCCUCAGCUUUGGAGCUGGACUCACACGCCACUUCCUUGAAGAUGCUGGUCACUCUGAGCUCCCCAUCCGGCCUGGGUGGAAAUGCUCAGCUGCUCCUGCUUCUUCAAUGUAUGUCUUUUCACAGCCUCGUAGUGACCAGAGGCAAGGACUACCCAUGACUCCCUUCUCCCUGGCCCUGCCCAGUGGGUAGUGGCGGUUGAACACAUUGAAGAAUGGGAGAUGAGCAA